UUUGGCUCCGUCAGCUUUCCUUCCAUAGCAGCCUGAAGAGAAGGUGGUCUUCGGUUGUCGUUCAUCAUGCCCAAACAGAUUAUGGAAAUCAAGGAUUUCCUCCUCACUGCGAGGAGAAAAGACGCCAGAUGUGAGUAUAUUUUCCAAGUUUUCUACAUUUUAACCUGUUUAUAUGGAUUUUGUUAUUCU